CCGGGACCAGAGAAUGGCCGAGGUGCUGUGUUCGGCGGUCCCCAACGGGACGGACGCCGCCUUUCUGGCCGGCCCGGGCUCCCCCUGGGGGGGGAACAGCACGAUCGCCUCCACCGCCGCGGUCGCCGCCUCGUUCCGGUGUUCGCUGACCAAGACGGGCUUCCAGUUCUUCUACCUGCCGAUCGUGUACAUCGUGGUCUUCAUCAUCGGCUUCCUGGGCAACAGCGUGGCCAUCUGGAUGUUCGUCUUCCACAUGAAGCCGUGGAGCGGCAUCUCCGUGUACAUGUUCAACUUGGCCUUGGCCGACUUCUUGUACGUGCUGACUCUGCCCGCGCUCAUCUUCUACUACUUUAACAAGACCGACUGGAUCUUCGGGGACGCCAUGUGCAAGCUGCAGAGGUUCAUCUUCCACGUGAACCUCUACGGCAGCAUCCUGUUCCUCACCUGCAUCAGCGCGCACCGCUACAGCGGCGUGGUGUACCCGCUCAAGUCGCUGGGCCGCCUCAAGAAGAAGAACGCCGUGUACAUCAGCGUGCUGGUGUGGCUCAUCGUGGUCCUGGGCAUCUCCCCCAUCCUCUUCUACUCGGGCACCGGCGUCCGCAAGAACAGAACCGUCACCUGCUACGACACCACCUCGGACGAGUACCUGCGAAGCUAUUUCAUCUACAGCAUGUGCACCACCGUGGCCAUGUUCUGUGUCCCCCUGGUGCUGAUCCUGGGCUGUUACGGCUUAAUUGUGAGAGCUCUGAUUUACAAAGACCUGGACAACUCGCCCCUGAGGAGGAAGUCCAUUUACCUGGUGAUCAUUGUACUGACGGUGUUUGGUGUGUCUUACAUCCCUUUCCACGUCAUGAAAACGAUGAACCUGCGGGCCCGGCUGGAUUUUCAGACCCCAGAAAUGUGUGCUUUCAAUGACAGGGUGUAUGCCACUUACCAGGUGACAAGAGGUCUCGCCAGCCUCAACAGCUGUGUGGACCCCAUUCUCUAUUUCUUGGCAGGGGACACUUUCCGAAGGAGGCUCUCCCGGGCCACCAGGAAAGCUUCCCGAAGAAGCGAGGCGAAUUUGCAGUCCAAGAGUGAAGACAUGACCCUCAAUAUUUUAUCCGAGUUCAAGCAGAAUGGAGAUACAAGCUUGUGAAGACGCGAGAAUCCCCAAGCACCCGCUGUUGUAACAUGGUAGGAUGCUUGCUAGAGCCAUGCGCUUUGUCCUCCCGCCUUUAAGUUUCUAAAAGUUUAGGGGAAAAAUCAAACCCAGAAAUUAGUGAGUUAAAAAAACAACAACUGGAAAUGUCCACACUCACACUUAGCUUGUUUGGGUUUGCUUUCAAGGCCUCCCUUCUGUCUCACCAGAAGUAUGCAUAAUAAAAAGUUACUACCCCAGUUAAGCAUUUUCCUGCUCUUCUGCCUUCAGCAUUUACAAGCUUUCCUGUUUAAAGUGCACUUGAGUACUGGAGCUAUUUUGCUAUUAAUAAUUUCUCCAGGAAAACUGAUGACCUGAAACUUGAGUUGGUGAUGCAUCCAGUCUUUAAUGUUUUUAAUAAUCCAUGGUGGCAACAAGUUGAAGCUCCACAUUCUUAAGGUCUCAGGAUGUCCAGCUGAUUUACAGUACGCGUUACGUACAUUGUUUCAGCUUCCGGAGAACUUUAUUGCGGAGCGUGGGUCCAUGGAGGAGGUGGACAGUGACUAGAAAUGCCCUUUUACUUCGUGGCAUGUUUCUUUUUUUCCAGAGUGUUUCUUCUUUAGCUUCGUACAUCCCGCAGUAGACAAUGGUGGCAUGUGAAUGCAUGUCCCAAUAGUAACAAGAAUGAUCUCCCUGACUCCUUCCAGGCAAAAAGAGGUCUCUGGGAAGAGUCUGUGUGUGCUAACGGUGAAAUGAGGGUCAGGAUGAAGCAGUGAUCUUACAAUCUGAUUCUUGACCUAUGAUAAUAUUAAUAAGUAUUUUAAUAAAGGCAGAAGUCUGUUGGCAUUUUGAUGAAAGAAUUGCUAAAACUAUGGGAUUUAUCAGUUAACUAGAUUUCACAAUACAAAACUAUUUUAUUGCCAAGUUCAAGGUGUCUUAUGGCACACAGCUUACAUCUUUGACUCUUAGAACAUGAACAAGUUUGCACUGAAAUGAUAAAAAAACAAACCAAGAAGAGAUACAGCAUGAGUGUAGAAUUCAGAGUUAUAACCAUGGCAUUGCCACUCGGCCAGCUAUGGAACUCUUGACCCUUUCAAGACCAUUCUUUGGAAUAAAAAGGUUGGAUAACAGCUUUCUUUUGAGGCUUUGGGGGAUGUGGAAACAUUAAAACUACAGACAGACAGCGAUGUAUGAAAUCUGCUACUGUACUUUACAGAAUUCUUCAAUUCCAGUCCUUGGCUAAAAAUUCUUACAAAGUUCAAUUGUGAUGUGGACCUAUGUCCUGUAAGUUUUCUCAUCUACGCUGGCAGUACACUACACUGCCUUUGGAUACAAAAGGUAUCAGUACUUAGAGCUGCUGGAAUUGCACCGGUGACAAUAAAGAUGUGUAACUAGUAAGAGAUCUAUUGAAGCUUUAAUUUUGCAGGUCAAAUUGUAGCUAUCAUAGUAUUUAUUAAUGAAGCUUACAGUUCUUCAGUUGUACAGAUUGAAAGACUUUCUUGAAAGAUCCCACAUACUGAUGUAAAUUAUAUUUAUUAUAAUGUACAAUAUUAAUGUUGCACUGGUAUAUUUGCAUAAUAAAUGAUACAUACAUAAAAUUAAUUAUUGUAUAUUAUGAUGCUUUUUGGAUAUUAGUAUCUUGAAAUUUUUGUCUUCAGAUUUUUUUAAUUUAAAAUAGGGAAAUCUGUUUUGUGAUAAAAUUGAUUUACUCCAGAUACCCUUUUGCACAUUUAACUUUUUAUUUAGGGUUCUUUCUAUACAGACACAAUUUGGUGUCACACUAUUGUUAGAUCAAUAGCAAAUAGAAAACAUCUGGGUCUGUAUAUAAAAUUAUAGAAAAGUUGAUAUUGUCUUUUCAGGACAUUUAGAAUUGUACCCUCAAAUAUGAUCAGAGCUUCUAUUUCCCAAUGCAAUGCUUGUCCUAACUUCAAAGUAAAUUCACUUAGAAGUCUGGUGGGUUGGGCACUAUUGAAGCAACAUUAGAAUUUAGAGAAAAACUUAAGGGAGAUGGGGAGAGAAGAAGACAGCUGGUGUAAUCUGUUACUGUGAUUAGUUCUGCUUAAAUUUCUGUGCUGUGUUUCUUUUUAAGGCGAAAUAGUAUAAUCUUAAUUUCUUUGAGACGGACUUUCUAAGUAACACACUACCAGCAAGUUUAACACUGCUAUUACUUUUAAUGUUUCAUUUUUUCAGUUGAUAACUUUAAUUCCAAGUGUUAAUAGUGGUAACUGUAUUAUAUUUGGCUGCUGAAUUCUGUUACAUUUUUAUUCUGUUGUACAUAGUAUUAUACACGUCAUUACAAAUUAAUAUGAAGGGGGAUAUACAUGACAUAUCGAAAUUUGUGAAUUUGAAUUGUAGUCUGUGCUUUUGCAAAAAUGUUUAUUUUUAUAUUAUCUGUGACUUAAUAUAGAUAAUUGAAUUGGG